rnacentral:rRNA from 1 species
UACGGAGGGGGCUAGCGUUGUUCGGAAUUACUGGGCGUAAAGCGCACGUAGGCGGCUUUGUAAGUUAGAGGUGAAAGCCCGGAGCUCAACUCCGGAAUAGCCUUUAAAACUGCAUCGCUUGAAUCCGGGAGAGGUGAGUGGAAUUCCGAGUGUAGAGGUGAAAUUCGUAGAUAUUCGGAAGAACACCAGUGGCGAAGGCGGCUCACUGGACCGGUAUUGACGCUGAGGUGCGAAAGCGUGGGGAGCAAACAGG